ACUCCUACGGGAGGCAGCAGUGGGAAUAUUGCGCAAUGGGCGGAAGCCUGACGCAGCGACGCCGCGUGGGGAUGACGGCCUUCGGGUUGUAAACCUCUUUCGACCUUGACGAAGCCUUCGGGUGACGGUAGGGGUAGAAGAAGCACCGGCCAACUACGUGCCAGCAGCCGCGGUAAUACGUAGGGUGCGAGCGUUGUCCGGAAUUAUUGGGCGUAAAGAGCUCGUAGGCGGUCUGUCGCGUCGGUCGUGAAAACUUGGGGCUUAACCCUGAGCUUGCGGUCGAUACGGGCAUGACUUGAGUUCGGCAGGGGAGACUGGAAUUCCUGGUGUAGCGGUGAAAUGCGCAGAUAUCAGGAGGAACACCGGUGGCGAAGGCGGGUCUCUGGGCCGAUACUGACGCUGAGGAGCGAAAGCGUGGGGAGCGAACAGGAUUAGAUACCCUGGUAGGCUCUGC
rnacentral:rRNA from 1 species